GCUACAACUGGUGAAAAAUUGAUUUUAACCUUUACUUCACCAUUAAAUAUGGCAAAGGAGGCUGCCUGGCAGCAUGCUGCUGGAAGCGAAUUCCACCUGUCAGCGGCCUGAUAGGGUAAAGCGUAGAAACCAUACCGUGAAGAGGCAUUAGAUAGGGCUAAAUCAAGGGCUGACUGUCCCCUGGUCAAGGCAUCCGUAUGGUUGCUAUUCGAUGUAAGUACAAAUAGCUCGGCUUGUGGCGGUGACAAAUGAUGGCUGUUGGGUGGCAUGGUGGGUAGCCAAAUAGCCUCAGGCUACGCUUGAAGCAUCGAAUGAGUUUGUUGUAUCGGGUUGCUGAUAUGGUGUGAUCGUAGCAGCUACUAGCGUACUCCAUGGUGGAUUUGAAGAUGCUUGGGUAGAAGGAACGUUGUGCCUGGGCAGUGAUGUGAUGACCUGUUCAGCAUUAGCGUGAUGUGAGUUUAAGCUGAGACCAAUCUAUCAAACUGUAGAAAGAAGUCAAUCAUUCCUCCUUGACCUAUCUUCCGUCUCCUUCCUAUGGCAUGUCAUCACUGAAUGAGUGUGUAUACGAGUGUUUUUAGGUGACACGAAAUCCUAAUCGCUUUCCGUGUGCGCGUGUGUGUAUGUCUGUCUGUGUGUCUCUGCUAAUGUAUGUAUGUAUGUGUGCAUGUAUGUCUGUGUAUCUCUGUAUGUCUGUGUGUGUCUGUAUGUAUGUCUGUGUGUAUGUGUAUCUGUGCGUCUCUGUGCGUCUCUGUAUGUCUGUGUGUGUGUGUGUUUCUGCUAUCUGGCCAUGAGGGUAUAAUUAUGUGUAUGUGCAGCACACACCAAGAUUCCUUCUGCCUGACACUUGCAUGGUUAAAGCUAACGGCCGAAAUCAUAAUCAGUAACAGGAAUGCGGUAAGAACUACAAGAGCUUUUUAAAAAGAUUUUACUAUGUUGUAUUAAUGUUCUGUUGUAAACUUGCUGUUCAUAAAAAUUGCAACAAUGUUCUUGUCAGACCACAUGUACAGUGCUACUCUAUGAAAUCCAGUCGCGUCACUCAAGUACGCGCCAGGCGUUGCACAGCCCUAGACCUACGAACACUGAGCUGCAAAGUGGUACAAGGAAAACCCGAGCCAGUGACAAAUGCAGCACUGUAGUUGUGGCUGCAUUUGUUCCUCUGCUCAUCGUGGUUCUGUGUGCUUGAUGUAUGUUUGUGUGUAUGUAUGUGUGUGUGUGUGUGUGUGUGUGUGUCAGUGUGGUUUUUGUGUUGUCCGUGCAUGCCGGGGUGGUUGUUGCAUUCUUCUAUCCACGUUUGCUUGCAUUUACUGCCAACAUGGGUGUUCCUUUCCAAACCAUCGGGACACUUGGACAAUCCUCCGUCAUCCUGAGCUAAGUUGACAUUGUAUAUUCAACUGAACUCGGCUUUCACUGCACUGGCAGCAUCGGCAGGUACAAUGCACGUUGGUCACCUGUACUCUUAACCCAUUUCCACCAUACUUAAGUCAUGGUGGCCGGGCUCCAUUGGUAUUUGGCACUAUCAUUGCAUCUGGCUUUGUUGUGCAUGCCCUAUACCCAGUGAAUUCUGUACUGUAUACCGUCUGUCUAAUUUUGUAUUUAUCCCCAUUGAUCAAUCCCACCUCCCCUCUACUAUCCACUCUCUCCUGCCAUGUCCUUGCCUCUCUACUCCUCUCCUUCUUUUGAUCCCCCCCCCCUACUUUCCUCCAGACUUUCUCUACUGCUUUAAAAGUCUCUCCUCCUAUUCUUGUCCCAUGUUAUUAUUCUGACAAUAUACCUCUCUCCAUUCUUCCACCCACACCUUGCUCUUACUUCCAAGCGCCUUUCUGCCCCCCC